rnacentral:lncRNA from 1 species
GUAGAUCUUGAAUCCGUAGAGUUGCAGGCAAAGCCCAAAAUUCAGGCUUAGACUCUCAGACCGCUCAGAGAAACCACAGGCUCACAGGCAGAUCCCUUGAGGCCACAGUAGCUGGCCAGAAAACACCGCCAUCAGCUAAACUGUAUUCAUCUGGAGUUCCGCGGAGCGGAAGGACUUGCAGCCUUCCCUUUCCCCAGCCAGGGCUAGGGAGUUAGACAAUGGAAGUCCAGCACUAGGCAAAGCAGGCAUUAUGCGCGGGGGGAAGAGCUUUGAGCUCACUGUAGUCUCAGAGAGGGAAGUGAUGGAAAAAGAAUAUAGCAGCUUAUUAGGGACUCCCACCCUCUUCAAGUUAUAAAUAUCCCCAGAACCUUGGCUACUUGCCCGGAGGCCUGUUGUCUCCUAACUGUACAGGAGAUUUCUCUGCCUAGGCUGGGAAAGGGGCUUUUCUUUUGUUUUACAGACCCAUCCACCCACUGAAGGGCUUGGAUUAAAAAAAGAAAACAAAACCAUGAUUCUGGGCAAUGCUUUUAUUAGACUGCCUGGGCAAGAUGGCUCUCCAAGCCCAGCUUGGCUGCUUGCCUCUUUCUCAGAUGAUGAAGGCCUACCAUGGGCAGAGGCAGCAGUAAGCGUAUCACUGGGGAAUGGGGCCAGAGAGCCAUUUGGCCAGGAUCUCCAAUUU